rnacentral:rRNA from 1 species
AGUGAACGCUGGCGGUAGGCCUAACACAUGCAAGUCGAACGGCAGCACAGGAGAGCUUGCUCUCUGGGUGGCGAGUGGCGGACGGGUGAGGAAUACAUCGGAAUCUACUCUGUCGUGGGGGAUAACGUAGGGAAACUUACGCUAAUACCGCAUACGACCUACGGGUGAAAGCAGGGGAUCUUCGGACCUUGCGCGAUUGAAUGAGCCGAUGUCGGAUUAGCUAGUUGGCGGGGUAAAGGCCCACCAAGGCGACGAUCCGUAGCUGGUCUGAGAGGAUGAUCAGCCACACUGGAACUGAGACACGGUCCAGACUCCUACGGGAGGCAGCAGUGGGGAAUAUUGGACAAUGGGCGCAAGCCUGAUCCAGCCAUACCGCGUGGGUGAAGAAGGCCUUCGGGUUGUAAAGCCCUUUUGUUGGGAAAGAAAUCCAGCUGGCUAAUACCCGGUUGAGAUGACGGCACCCAAAGAAUAAGCACCGGCUAACUUCGUGCCAGCCGCCGCGGUAA